rnacentral:lncRNA from 1 species
CCCCCCCCACCUCUCCCUUCCCAAACUCAAGUCUUUCGGGCUGUGCACCUGCACGUAAGAGAGGCGGCGGAGAAGCUGGAAGAGGCGCCAGCAGAUGUUACGCGGCGGGUCGUUGCUGUAGCUAGGAAAGAAAACGGUGAAAUACACACCUCGCAGACCGCUAGGAAAUUCGGCCAGAACGAAUGUUUUUGGAAACGUUUGCGCUCCCCAGCCCCGGCUUGGCAAUCUUCACCUGCUGGGUAUUUUCCUGCCGACGCUGUCGCCAGCCGCGCCCUGGGAUCGCCCCUGCUCGGAACGACUCCAAAACGAGGGACCGUCGCCCAGGCGGAAAAACUACGGGAAAAGCGGGGUUUGAAGCCUGCAGAUUUUUCCCCAACCGGGGACAAACAGGGGUGUCCGCCCCGGGGACUCGGGGGGGCUGAGACCGGCGGAGGCGCAGAGCUGCCCGACAGAGGCUCACGGCGCCGCUGCCCGCUCGCCGGCCGGGCUGUCCCGGGGCCAGGGCCACCCCCUCAGGUGCCACCAGAGCCAUUUGGGGCCGCAGGGGCGGGGGGUUGCGAUUUUCCCCUCGUGCCCGCUGGAAAAGAAGGAUGUUUUCCUCUGCUGUUUAGCUUUCGUACUAAAGAUGUCAUCUGAAAGUCUGGGAGGGAGAGCUGUGUGCUCCGCUCUCUUCCACGGUAACAACCAUAUUCUGCAUAUUGAAAAAUAUUAUAGACAGUGGAGAAGGCUUCUUUUUUUUUUUUUUUUAUCCCCUUAAAAAGAAAAAAAAAAAAGAAAAGAAAAAAGAACCAACCUUUUCAAUAUUGAUUCAACAAAAAAGAGAGGGAGAGAAUUUAAAAAGAGAAGAAGCAGCACCAGCAGCAGGGAGAAUAUAGGCUCAGCAACUCUCCAGGUUCGCUUCCUUAUUAUUACUAUCCAGGGGUAAUUUUUCAUCUCUGCUAGCUAAUCUUUGUUCCUUGUGAAGAUAAUGAAUAGCCCAAUCCUUAUCUCCUGGGCUCCUGGAGGCUGCUGGAGAAUGGGGUUGAACAGGGUUGAAAAUUGGUUCCAAAGUGCUGCUGAAUAAAUGGUGUUCCUUAUCUCUCGCUUCCA